CCUAAUGUUCAGACGGACGCCUUCCUCGGAUUGUAGACCGUAGCCAGCAUUGGUACUGGCCAGGCAGAGCACACAGACAGUCAUGACGUAAACGGAUGCACUGGCAAAGCAGGGUUGCCAGGGGCGUGCAGGAAGAGCUGGUCAGGCGAUAGUAUCGAGGCAUGCAGAAUAAUCAUUAGUGAAAUUAAAAAACAUUAUUCAUGUACUGAUCUUUCUAUUGUAUUAAAGCAACUUCAAUUUUGGGCGAAUCAAAUAAUUUAUUAAAA